rnacentral:rRNA from 1 species
CAAUAGCGUAUAUUAAAGUUGUUGCGGUUAAAAAGCUCGUAGUUGGAUUUCUGCCGAGGACGACCGGUCCGCCCUCUGGGUGAGCAUCUGGCUCGGCCUGGGCAUCCUCUUGGAGAACGUAGCUGCACUUGACUGUGUGGGGCGGUAUCCAGGACUUUUACUUUGAGGAAAUUAGAGUGUUUCAAGCAGGCAUCCGCCUUGAAUACAUUAGCAUGGAAUAAUAAGAUAGGACCUCGGUUCUAUUUUGUUGGUUUCUAGAGCUGAGGUAAUGAUUAAUAGGGAUAGUUGGGGGCAUUCGUAUUUAACUGUCAGAGGUGAAAUUCUUGGAUUUGUUAAAGACGGACUACUGCGAANGNAUUUGCNAAGGAUGUUUNCAUUG